GGUUAAUUGCGAUUUUGUUUAAUUAUAACAUAAAAUAAUUUAAAGUGUUUCGAUUAACAGUAAGAUUACUGUGUAUUUUCGAUUGUCAAGUUACGAAUAUCGUGCUGGGAUACCAAAAAUACCUUUUUACCCUCUAAAAAUUAGUUGUGAUGGGGUGCUCGAAAAUUUCUUCAGAGAAUAUUUAAGGAUACUUACCACAUUUGCAAUCUGGGAUAUGUCAACGAAAAGAAAUACUCUGGAUGCCAUGUGCUAUUGGACAUUGGAUCAAAUCAACCAUUUUUCACUUUAGGAUGUAGCAGUACUUAAAGGAAGCAUAAAGGUUAACUGACAAAUAAGAGAGAAUGAAGACAUUGAAGUUAAUUUUCAUCCUACUGGAAAAGCAUAAUUCGUCUACUAUAUGGUACUGUGUUUGCUGUUGACUUUUCACCUUGGAUGAUUUUAUAGUUAUUUAAGAAACACUGAGGAUACCAUGUGCUGUGGGAGAUUUGGCUAAAUCAACCCUAUUUCACUCAAGGAUGUAGCAUUACCUGAAAGAGGCACAAAGGUGCCAUUCCUCGUCACCUGUUUCCAAUCAAUAACUUAGGAACACUCUAGAUGUCAUGUGAUAUAGAUUUAAUUAUAUAAGUCCUUCUUCACUCCAAGAUGUGUUAAUACCUGAAAACCACUUUUUCGAUCGGAAAUUGGCGCUGUGUGUUGCAGUUACUGGAGGAAGGAUUUAUGAUGCUGAACAACAUCAAGUAAAGGAACACUCUAGAUGCUAGGUGAUACAGAGAUUUAAUUAUAUAAGUCCUUCUUCACUCCAAGAUGUGUUAAUACCUGAAAACCACUUUUUCGAUCGGAAAUUGACGCAGUGUGUUGCAGUUACUGGAGGAAGCAUUUAUGAUGCUGAACAACAUCAA
rnacentral:lncRNA from 1 species